GAUCCUGGCUCAGGAUGAACGCUGGCGGCGUGCUUAACACAUGCAAGUCGAACGAAGCACUUAAGAUUGACUCUUCGGAUGAUUUCUUUGUGACUUAGUGGCGGACGGGUGAGUAACGCGUGGGUAACCUGCCUCACACAGGGGGAUAACAGUUAGAAAUGACUGCUAAUACCGCAUAACCCGAUAGGAUCGCAUGAUCCAGACUGAAAAAGAUUUAUCGGUGUGAGAUGGAUCCG
rnacentral:rRNA from 1 species